rnacentral:rRNA from 1 species
UACCAGCACCCCGAGUGGUCGGGACGUUUAUUGGGCCUAAAGCAUCCGUAGCCGGUUCUACAAGUCUUCCGUUAAAUCCAACUGCUUAACAGGUGGGCUGCGGAAGAUACUAUAGAGCUAGGAGGCGGGAGAGGCAAGCGGUACUCGAUGGGUAGGGGUAAAAUCCUUUGAUCCAUUGAAGACCACCAGUGGCGAAGGCGGCUUGCCAGAACGCGCUCGACGGUGAGGGACGAAAGCUGGGGGAGCAAACCGG